rnacentral:rRNA from 1 species
UACGUAGGGUGCGAGCGUUGUCCGGAAUUAUUGGGCGUAAAGAGCUCGUAGGCGGUCUGUCGCGUCGAAUGUGAAAACCCGGGGCUCAACUCCGGGCUUGCAUUCGAUACGGGCAGGCUAGAGUUCGGUAGGGGAGUCUGGAAUUCCUGGUGUAGCGGUGAAAUGCGCAGAUAUCAGGAGGAACACCGGUGGCGAAGGCGGGUCUCUGGGCAGUAACUGACGCUGAGGAGCGAAAGCGUGGGGAGCGAACAGG